UGUCGCAACUCCUAUUCCUACCUCCACGCGGUAUCGACCGGGGUACAGGUCCCUUCCCAUUGCAAAACGGACCUGUAUGCCAACAGGAAAGG
rnacentral:ribozyme from 1 species